CGCGGGCCGCCUCCCACAAAGUCCACGAACCCCUCGGCACAUCCUAAUCUUUGUGAAUUUUGGAUGGAAUCGAAGAAACACUGUGCUCGCUCGACAUGUUCAUGCUUCCUGACUGGCUAUGUGGAUAGGAAUGAGGUUGUUGUUGGGAGGUAAUUCCUUCUUUUGCAUCAUUUGCCCAGCAGAAGGUGCUCCAUCUGAUGCUACUGCUGCUUUUAGGGAACUACUGUAGACGCAAAGAGUAGGAAUUGCACAUAUCAGGUGAUAGUGGAGGCUCUUGUACCUUGUACUACUUGUCUACUUAUGCUGUCCUGUAAACAACACUUGUUUGUACAGUAAAUCGUUGAUUCGUCUUCUUGAAAUAUUCUGCAUCUUAUUGUUUAUAAAUCUACUGUACAUUGUCUAAUGCUUCUUAUAUGGAAGGGCCGGAUAUUCCUAGGUUUCAUGUGCAAAUGCCGCAUCAGUUGUAGUAAGAUUGAUCUACUAUAUAUGAUAGGAUUUGCUUUACUCAAGGGUAAGAAAAAUGUGUUAAGGAGAAUUGUGUAAAUCCUAUU